rnacentral:rRNA from 1 species
UACAGAGGUCUCAAGCGUUGUUCGGAUUCAUUGGGCGUAAAGGGUGCGUAGGUGGUGGCGCAAGUCUGGUGUGAAAUCUCGGAGCUUAACUCCGAAAUUGCACCGGAUACUGCGUGACUCGAGGACUGUAGAGGAGAUCGGAAUUCACGGUGUAGCAGUGAAAUGCGUAGAUAUCGUGAGGAAGACCAGUUGCGAAGGCGGAUCUCUGGGCAGUUCCUGACACUGAGGCACGAAGGCCAGGGGAGCAAACGGG